rnacentral:snoRNA from 1 species
AAGAGGAACAGUCUCAAAUCAGUAAUCUUAAAUUGCUACAUCAAGAAAAUAGAAACCACAAGGAAGAGACACAAUGUUCUCUCCUGAGCAAGGAACCGGCUGUUGGUGUUGCUUCGCUGCAAGCGCCAUUUACCAUUGAUGAUCAUUCUUCUCUCCCUUUUUGGAGAAGUAAGAGGGAGAGGAUGCAGUCUGGGGUGGG